AUCAGUACCAUCUUCCGCACUAUAUUUAAAUUGUGGUCCACCUCUUGGUGGAAGUAGCUCCUCCAAAGCAGGGGCAUUCUCAAUGCUCUGCUUGAUUUUGUCCCAAUAUGAAAGACGGACUUCCCUUUCCAAAACCUCUUGAACAAAAACACGUUGUGGGGCCCACUUUGGGAGAUCCAACACAUACGCCCAUUCUUCCCAUGGCCAGAUAAAUUGAAAGUUUGACAAAUGAUGUGAGAACCAAAGUACAAGACGUGUACGGCAUUCCAUGUCUAGAUCUGUUAUUUUAUCAAAAAGAGCACGAACAGCUCCAGCUAUUACCGCCGGAAAGGCCCCUGGCAGAGCCUUGCAUAAAUCAAUGAUAACCAAUGUGUAAUAUAUCGGUCUGAAGGGCGGUUGCGGCAACAAGAGAAGCUGAGAGAAUAUUGUCUCAGCCAUAAGAUAUUCAUAUCUGAAAGGUACAGGCAGCCCAACCAUGUACGCAGCACAUUCCUUUCGACAUCCAUUCAAGAAGAAAAG
rnacentral:misc_RNA from 1 species